UAACUUUCUACGGUUGGUUUCAGAACUCAGUGGAACUCAUGGCAGUGUCUUCAAUCUCCGUUACUGCUUCACAGCAAUUCAAUAGCUUGUAAUUCUCUUCAUUAUAAUCAGGAAAAGCUUUACCUCGGUGAAUAUCUUUGGCUGAGAGCUGAGAAUUUUGAAGCUUUAAUUCAAUCAUUUUUUUGAAUUUGAAUUUAGUGUUACUCUGUUUAUAUUCUCCGCAA